UGCACUGUUGCGUAUAUCAAUGAUCCGGGUUGAUGGAAGGGAGGGAGCAAAGGUAACUUGCGGUUUUUUUUUUGUCGUCCAACAAUUAAUUACGCACGUGCAGCUACGAUCGAGACGUUAAACAUAAUAAUAUAAUAAUAUAUAUUUAUUAAUAUCGUAAUCGUCUUCAUCGCCGCGGAGUACCUAUAGUAUCCGCAAAAAUACGAGGUCGUAACAAUAUGAUCGCGUAUUGCCUCACAUUGCUUCGGGUAUAUCUAUGUAUGUAACACGCGUCUACUGCGGCCUAUUGGAAUGAACACGACGGAAGCGCUGUAACGGUGGUUGAGUUGUUGCAAUAAUUUACUUUUGUUGUGCAGUGAAUUUCAAUUUAUAACCAGAUGUUUUAAUGGAAAACCCCUAUUUAUAGUAAAUAUAUUUUUUUUGUUUAAUAAAAACACGAUUAUUUAUAUUUUUUUGUAAAUAAAUUAGAAUUAAAGCUCUCUGAAAUUUCCGAGAACAUUUUUAGGAAGGUUAUUAUUCCUGUCCACAAAAAUUAAAGAAAAAGCAAUGGACGGGAAUUCUCAGAAAUUUAUAAAAUUGAUAAUAUGUUUUGAUUUUUAUAUUUUAAUACUAUACCAGUUUACAUCGCUUAAUUUAUGUAUUUUAACGUAAUUAUU